GAUGAACGCUGGCGGCGUGCCUAAUACAUGCAAGUCGAGCGAACAGAUGAGGAGCUUGCUCCUCUGACGUUAGCGGCGGACGGGUGAGUAACACGUGGAUAACCUACCUAUAAGACUGGGAUAACUUCGGGAAACCGGAGCUAAUACCGGAUAAUAUAUUGAACCGCAUGGUUCAAUAGUGAAAGACGGUUUUGCUGUCACUUAUAGAUGGAUCCGCGCCGCAUUAGCUAGUUGGUAAGGUAACGGCUUACCAAGGCGACGAUGCGUAGCCGACCUGAGAGGGUGAUCGGCCACACUGGAACUGAGACACGGUCCAGACUCCUACGGGAGGCAGCAGUAGGGAAUCUUCCGCAAUGCGCGAAAGCUUGACGGAGCAACGCCGCGUGAGUGAUGAAGGUCUUCGGAUCGUAAAACUCUGUUAUUAGGGAAGAACAAAUGUGUAAGUAACUAUGCACGUCUUGACGGUACCUAAUCAGAAAGCCACGGCUAACUACGUG
rnacentral:rRNA from 1 species